rnacentral:rRNA from 1 species
UGAGUAACACGUAUGCAAUCCACCUGUAACAGGGGGAUAACCCGGAGAAAUCCGGACUAAUACCCCAUAAUAUGGGCGCUCCGCAUGGAGAGCCCAUUAAAGAGAGCAAUCUUGGUUACAGACGAGCAUGCGCUCCAUUAGCCAGUUGGCGGGGUAACGGCCCACCAAGGCGACGAUGGAUAGGGGUUCUGAGAGGAAGGUCCCCCACAUUGGAACUGAGACACGGUCCAA